rnacentral:rRNA from 1 species
AUGAACGCUGGCGGCGUGCCUAAUCCAUGCCAGUCGCGCGAACAGACGAGGAGCUUGCUCCUCUGACGUUAGCGGCGGACGGGUGAGUAACACGUGGAUAACCUACCUAUAAGACUGGGAUAACUUCGGGAAACCGGAGCUAAUACCGGAUAAUAUAUUGAACCGCAUGGUUCAAUAGUGAAAGACGGUUUUGCUGUCACUUAUAGAUGGAUCCGCGCCGCAUUAGCUAGUUGGUAAGGUAACGGCUUACCAAGGCAACGAUGCGUAGCCGACCUGAGAGGGUGAUCGGCCACACUGGAACUGAGACACGGUCCAGACUCCUACGGGAGGCAGCAGUAGGGAAUCUUCCGCAAUAGGCGAAAGCCUGACGGAGCAACGCCGCGUGAGUGAUGAAGGUCUUCGGAUCGUAAAACUCUGUUAUUAGGGAAAAACAAAUGUGUAAGUAACUAUGCACGUCUUGACGGUACCUAAUCAGAAAGCCGCGGCUAACUACGUG